rnacentral:lncRNA from 1 species
AUGGAGGUUACAUUACUCAUGGAGGUUACAUUGCUCAUGGAGGUUACAUUACACAUGGAGGUUACAUUACUCAUGGAGGUUACAUUACAUUACUCAUGGAGGUUACAUUACUCAUGGAGGUUACAUUACUCAUGGAGGUUACAUUACACAUGGAGGUUACAUUACAUUACACAUGGAGAUUACAUUACUCAUGGAGGUUACAUUACAUUACACAUGGAGGUUACAUUACAUUACACAUGGAGGUACAUUCCAUUACACAUGGAGAUUACAUUACAUUACUCAUGGAGGUUACAUUACUCAUGGAGGUUACAUUACUCAUGGAGGUUGCAUUACUCAUGGAGGUUGCAUUACUCAUGGAGGUUGCAUUACUCAUGGGGGUUACAUUACUCAUGGGGGUUACAUUACUCAUGGAGGUUACAUUACAUUACAAAUGGAGGUGACAUUACAUUACUCAUGGAGGUUACAUUACAUUACACAUGGAGGUUACAUUACAUUACACAUGGAGGCUACAUUACACAUGGAGGUUACAUUACACGUGGAGGUUACAUUACUCAUGGAGGUUACAUUACAUUACUCAUGGAGGUUACAUUACAUUACACAUGGAGGUUACAUUACAUUACACAUGGAGGUUACAUUACACAUGGAGGUUACAUUACACAUGGAGGUUACAUUACUCAUGGAGGUUACAUUACAUUACUCAUGGAGGUUACAUUACAUUACACAUUGAGGUUACAUUACAUUACUCAUGGAGGUUACAUUACUCAUGGAGGUUACAUUACACAUGGAGGUUACAUUACUCAUGGAGGCUACAUUACAUUACUCAUGGAGGUUACAUUACUCAUGGAGGUUGCAUUACUCAUGGGGGUUGCAUUACUCAUGGGGGUUACAUUACUCAUGGAGGUUACAUUACACAUGGAGGUUACAUUACACAUGGAGGUUACAUUACACAUGGAGGUUACAUUACAUUACACAUGGAGAUUACAUUACUCAUGGAGGUUACAUUACAUUACACAUGGAGGUACAUUCCAUUACACAUGGAGAUUACAUUACAUUACUCAUGGAAGUUACAUUACUCAUGGAGGUUACAUUACUCAUGGAGGUUGCAUUACUCAUGGGGGUUACAUUACUCAUGGAGGUUACAUUACUCAUGGAGGUUACAUUACACAUGGAGGUUACAUUACACAUGGAGGUUACAUUACACAUGGAGGUUACAUUACAUUACACAUGGAGGUUACAUUACACAUGGAGGUUACGUUACAUUACAAAUGGAGGUUACAUUACAUUACAAAUGGAGGUUACAUUACAUUACUCAUGGAGAUUACAUUACUCAUGGAGGUUACAUUACACAUGGAGGUUACAUUACACAUGGAGGUUACAUUACAUUGCAAAUGGAGGUUACAUUACAUUAAUCAUGGAGGUUACAUUACUCAUGGAGGUACAUUACACAUGGAGGUUACAUUACUCAUGGAGGUACAUUACUCAUGGAGGUUGCAUUACACAUGGAGGUUACAUUACACAUGGAGGUUACAUUACUCAUGGAGGUUACAUUACAUUACUCAUGGAGAUAACAUUACAUUACUCAUGGAGGUUACAUUACUCAUGGGGGUUACAUUACACAUGGAGGUUACAUUACACAUGGAGGUUACAUUACUCAUGGAGGUUACAUUACAUUACUCAUGGAGAUAACAUUACAUUACACAUGGAGGUUACAUUACUCAUGGGGGUUACAUUACUCAUGGAAGUUACAUUACUCAUGGAGGUUACAUUACUCAUGGAGGUUACAUUACACAUGGAGGUUACAUUACAUUACACAUGGAGAAUUCCCUUGUAACGAGACUGUGACGUAGCUUGACCUCCGUUCUCCCUGAGUGAAAGAGGUGAGCACUGUGACAGACACUCCAACACUGAGUCAGAGGUUUAGGUACUUUAACAAAUUUCUCAAAUGUGCUGCUGUUCCCCUUUAAUGUAGCAAAGUGAAUUCCAUGUUGUUAAUGUAGCUCUGCAAAGCGGUAACACGAUAGCACAGCCGAGCUCUGACACCUAGCCUAGCAGCUUGGACAGCCUUUGUUAUCCUUUUACAACCAUAGCGUUUACAAGUUUAGACUAGCCCUGGCUAAUUUAGACUAGCCCUGGCUAAUUUAGACUAGCCCUGGCUAAUUUAGACUAGCCCAGACUAAUUUAGACUAGCCCAGGCAAAUUUAGACUAGCCCUGGCUAAUUUAGACUAGCCCUGGCUAAUUUAGACUAGCCCUGGCUAAUUUAGACUAGCCCUGGCUAAUUUAGACUAGCCCUGGCUAAUUUAGACUAGCCCUGGCUAAUUUAGACGAGGGCCUAGACCUGUCUGCUGUCCCUGGUGUGUGUUACAAUGUACUGUACUCGCUGGCCCCUGGCCCUGGGGAGCCGUGGUCUGGGAAGGGUUCAGAGCCGGGGACUUGGACGGGAACCCAACAGAUUUAUACGUGUUUCAGUUGGAAUAACCCAGGGAUAUGUCCCAGGGUUGUCUGGUUGUUUCAGCGAGGGGGGAUUUUCUAAAAGUCGUCUCCUGUUUCUACUGGGUCAGCGUUUUGUCCUACUGAGGACAUCACGUGGUGACAGGAGGCAUUAAAAUGCACAUUUCUCCUUUUUUUCUUCUUUCUCUCCGUUCUCUUGACCUAAUUCCUUUUCCACGACUGCCGUGCUGUUGCUUUCCUGUCUGCCGGUGGCUCUGAACAGUCUACGCCAAACGCAUAUGACUUUAACUGUAUUUAAAAAUCGGUUACACAACUGUACUGUUAUUGUUAAGUCUAUUCGGCGUACGCCUUUACCUGGGCGGACAUGACAUUUUGCUUUAAUGGACGAACCAGAGCAAUUUAUAAGGAUCUUGAAAGACGUUUUAAAAUGUGAGACUUUGGACCACACACACGAAGUACAUUUUGCUUUUCGUUAACCGUUACUCAACCACAACCUCCUCAGAUGAAUAACAAGUAUUUUCCUUGUCUGUCUCUGUGGCUAGAUCUACCAUUACAACUAAGGCUUGAUUUCAAAAUACAUUUUUCUUCCCCUUUAAACAAAACACACAUCUCUUUCUAAUGGCGCGCCUGAGAAUGGACAGUUUACUGUAAAAAACUAAACAAGCCAAGGCAAAGAAUUGACCCUGAAAUAUGAAACUGUGAUAUAUUUGAGAGGACUAAAAGAAACCUAACAUUACUCUUUAUAGUCACAUUAUUAAUAUGCAGCACACUUUUUAAAGAGGAUGCACUCAUAUUUCAGGUUUGAGAGUCACGAAACGAACCAAAGCUGGUUGGGCGUCUUUCAUAUUUCUGUGGGUGUGUGCACGCUCUGAUGAUGCCUGUACUGACACUCAGCCAGUGCCUAACCUGAUUCAUUACUUUGGUUACUGUUUCCACAGACCCAUAAAG